AGGAGAGCUUGCUCCAGGUUUUCUAGAGCUCUUGGGUUCCCAUGAAUGCUAUCAGAAAGAUGUCUCAUGCGAAAGCCUGCAGCUCAUUUGUCACUAUCGGUCUGUGUCUCUCUCUCUGAUGGAGGUGGCUGUUUGAAGAAUGUGCUGCAGUCAUGAUGACCAAAUUUGCAUGAUGUACUUGAAAUUUAUUUGCUUAUUAAUAUUCACUUGUUAUGUAAACAGGAGACAAGAUAACAGACCUGAAUCAGGACAAAGCUUCCAUCUUGAAACCCAAGCUGCCACCUGUAACAGCAAAACCAACCAAACCAAAGACAACAACAUCUCCCACAGUGACAGCACGCCGAUUUGAGACAUGGGAGAACUCUUCAGUAUUCAGCUCUGUUCCUGCUUCUAAAGUUGAUGCCAUGGGCAAAGAACGCUACAUUGGUAAUAAGACUUUCUUAACUGCUGUAGCCAUGCAUGCCAAGGAAUCUGAACACAAACACAAAUAUGUUGUUGUCCAGCUCCACAUGUGGUCUAUAAGACAGAUAAGAAGCCAGAUGAACCCUGCUCCAUCACCACCUCUCUGAGUUACUUCCCUGAGGAGGAGGCUGGAGAACCCAAACUAAAGAAUAAUAAUGCGCAUUUGAUCAGAUAUAACUGCAGUCCAAAAUUAUGAGAUACAUUAUUUGAAUGCUUGGCCAAAGAGGUGUGUUUUAAAUCUAGAUUUAAACAGAGGAAGUGUGUCUGAACCCCGAACAUUAUCAGGAAGGCUAUUCCAGAGUUUGGGAGCCAAAUGUGAAAAAGCUCUACCUCCUUUAGUGGACUUUGCUAUCCUAGGUACUACCAAAAGUCCAGCGUUUUGUGACCUUAGGGAGCGUGAUGGACUGUAGCCUGGUAGAAAACUAGAAAACAUUUUUUUGAUCUGGUAAGGACUCUAGCCGCUGCAUUUUGGACUACCUGUAGCUUGUUUAUUGAAGAUGCAGGACAACCACCUAACAGUGCAUUACAAUAGUCCAGUCUAGAGGUCAUGAAUGCAUGAACUAGCUUUUCUGCAUCAGGAACAGGUAACAUGUUUCGUAGCUUGGCAAUGUUUCUAAGAUGGAAGAAUGCUGUUUUUGUAACAUGGGAAAUAUGGUUUUCAAAAGACAAGUUGCUGUCUAAUAUAACACCCAGAUUUUUGACUGUAGAGGAACUAACAGUACAUCUGUCUAGUCGCAAAUUGUAAUCUACGAGAUUCUGUGUACUGUUUUUU
ensembl:lncRNA